UGUUUGUUAUGAGGGACUGGACGGGAUUGGACGGGACUGGGUACCAUAACACGAGGUAGCCCGUGUUUGGCAAUAACCGGGACUGUGUUAAAUGAGACUCUGCAGUCCCCAAAACCAGCCCACACCGUCUACGAGAGCGACGCCAAAACUAAUGGGAUUGUGGAAGCCGCUAUUGUAGACGUCAAAAUCCAUUCUCGCUGGAUCUGCUCUUCGCCUCAACCUCAUCACUCUCUCUCUCUCUCUCAUGUCAUUCUUUUGCUUCAGCCUCCUUCAACACCUCUUAUUCGGGUUCAAUUUCAUCUUCUCUCUCAUUGCACUGAUUAUCUUUCACUCUCCCCUUCAAUACUCUACCUUCUUCUUUCUCUAUCUCCUUUAUUAUAGAUGAUUUGUUUAUGGGUUGAUAUUAUUUUAAGGAUUUGGUGUCUGGGUAGCUUGAUCUGCUGAGAAUUUUGAUCAAUUUUGUGUCUGGGUAGCUUGACCAGUUGGAGCACCAAACAUGGAUCAGGACUGUUAUAGAAAUAAGCCAAGUUAUAAGAGUCCAGGACUCUUGUAGAAAUUAAGGUGAAGGGUGAUAGUCCGGUGAAACAAACACCCCCUUAAGAUAUAAAGAAGGAACCAUAGUGCAAUGUUGCUAAACUAUGGGGGAGAAUUCAGUGCACCGACGUGCACUUGUAUCGUCGUAAAUAGAUGGUUAGAUUAUAUUAAAUACACUCUUAAAUUAUUAAUAAAAAUAUUAAUUAUAAAUAUCAAAAGUUGAGAUCAUCUUAUAAGUGUUGGAUUAUUUACACCGUCGGUGCAUAGAAUAAUUUCCAUAUAACCUUGUAUAUGAAAUUAGUGCAGGGUACGUGUGACCAAACUGAUCAACAGCCAGGCAAAUUUCAAAGAACCUUAUCAAGUUGUAAUUUUGAGGGGAGGAUAGUUAAUGGAGGACGCGACAAGGCUAUUAAUGAAGGAUAAGUUGUUGACUUAGAGGAGCCAUUCCAUUUCCCCAUUUGUGGAUUCAAAUAUAUUCUUCACCUUCCUGUACUUUUCUCCAUUCAAUAAUCACUUGACGUGCGUCGAAUUCCGUCGAGUCACAUGAUCAUAUUCAUACCACGUGGAACUUCAUCAUUAAGGUGUCUGUUAUUCCAUAGGGAUAGGUGCCCCCUCUCUAAGCUAGAGUAGGCAGAUGAAGAAAAAAACAUUAACCCUAGAAAAUUUCCUAUAUAUAGGACCUAUGAAAUUAUCAUCAGUUGGACUUUUGGAGUAGUAGUUACAAUUUUUCAUCACAAAGUUUUGAAUUGAAAGAAAGAUCGAGGUA